GACGAACGCUGGCGGCGUGCUUAACACAUGCAAGUCGAACGGAAAGGCCCUGCUUUUGUGGGGUGCUCGAGUGGCGAACGGGUGAGUAACACGUGAGUAACCUGCCCUUGACUUUGGGAUAACUUCAGGAAACUGGGGCUAAUACCGGAUAGGAGCUCCUGCUGCAUGGUGGGGGUUGGAAAGUUUCGGCGGUUGGGGAUGGACUCGCGGCUUAUCAGCUUGUUGGUGGGGUAGUGGCUUACCAAGGCUUUGACGGGUAGCCGGCCUGAGAGGGUGACCGGCCACAUUGGGACUGAGAUACGGCCCAGACUCCUACGGGAGGCAGCAGUGGGGAAUAUUGCACAAUGGGCGGAAGCCUGAUGCAGCAACGCCGCGUGCAGGAUGACGGCCUUCGGGUUGUAAACCGCUUUCGCCUGUGACGAAGCGUGAGUGACGGUAAUGGGUAAAGAAGCACCGGCUAACUACGUG
rnacentral:rRNA from 1 species